ACAUCCGCAGGUGCGUCCGUUCUCGACGGCCGUUUCCGCCGGCUAUGCAUGCCACCGGCUGCCGUCGACGUGCACCUCCGACCGCCUCCCGUACCGGAUCUACAGCUGUGCCGCCGGAUCUCCGCCUCCCCCGCUGCCCCACGAGCUCCUGCUCCACGAGGCGCCAACGUUCUGGAGGAGUACGCCGUGAGGGCCGAGGCGGGCGCCGAGGACGCUGGCGGUGGCGCCCAGCCGGCCUCGUCGUCUGGCGCCAUGUUUGAUGGGAUCCUUGGGGCUCGCCUCGAGCUGGAAUUGGAGCGUGUGGUAGUUUUAGCUGGAUAAUACUCUGAGUGGUGUGCAAGCUCAAUGGGAACAUCCAACAAGAAGCCAUCACUUAAUCUGUUCGUUCAGGUAGGAGAUGAGAAGAUGUUCAGGCCCGUGAAGUUGCAGAGACUUGGGUGAAAGUUUAGGACGAUGGAGGAGACGCGUCGAGUCCUAUAUGUGUGCAGGCAUACCGAGCUGAGAUUGACCAUGCUGUCGGAUUGGGCCAGAAAAUAGGCAAGAUUGUUAUCAUAUUACUUUCAUUUUUAC